rnacentral:rRNA from 1 species
UACGCAGGGGGCUAGCGUUGCUCGGAAUCACUGGGCGUAAAGCGCACGUAGGCGGAUCUUUAAGUCGGGGGUGAAAUCCUGGAGCUCAACUCCAGAACUGCCUUCGAUACUGAGGAUCUCGAGUCCGGGAGAGGUGAGUGGAACUGCGAGUGUAGAGGUGAAAUUCGUAGAUAUUCGCAAGAACACCAGUGGCGAAGGCGGCGCACUGGCCCGGUACUGACGCUGAGGGGCGAAAGCGUGGGGAGCAAACAGG